AUGGCUCCUCCACGCCGCCCCCCUCCUUCCCGGCCCGCUAACCACGCCGUGUUCCUCCUCCUCGCCGCGGCCGCCCUCUUCGGGCCCGCCGUCGGGGUGGAGAUCCUCUCCAAGUCCCGCCUGGAGCGCUGCGCCCUGGACUCGGGGGCAGGCGGCGCCCUGGCCUGCGACCGCAAGCUCGUCCUCAACCUCGCCGUCCCCAGCGGCUCCAGCAGCGGCGAAUCGUCGCUGGUGGCGGAGGUGGUGGAGGUCGAGGAGGAUGAUACGCAGGCGAUGCAGACGGUGCGGGAUCCCCCCGUCAUCACCAUCAACAAGUCCGCCGUCUACGCGCUCUACGCCAUCAGCUACCUCAGGGAUGUUGCUUAUAAACCAGAGGAAAUGUUUACCAAGACACAUAAAUGCGAGUCAGAUGCUGGUGCUAAUGUUGUUGGAGUUUGUGAAAGGUUAUGGGAUCAGAACGGUCACGUAAUUGAGCAUACAGAGCCGGUUUGCUGUCCAUGUGGGCCUCAUCGCCGUGUUGGUUCGUCUUGCGGAUCAAUUUUUGAUAAAAUGAUUAAAGGCAAAGCUAAUACGGCUCACUGUGUACGUUUUCCAGGUGAUUGGUUUCAUGUUUUUGGAAUUGGGACGAGGUCAACUGGGUACAGCAUCAGAGUACAAGUAAAGAAAGGCUCUUCUGUAACGGAGGUUAUUGUUAGUCCAGAGAAUAAAACAGUUGUUUCUAAAGAUAACUUUCUGAGAGUAAAUCUCAUUGGUGACUUGGUUGGUCACGAAAGUAUGCCAACAUUUGAAGACUUCUAUCUUGUGACUCCACGGAAGGGUGGUGGUGAGGGUCAACCGCAAGUUCUUGGCGAUGAGUUUUCCUGGUGGAUGCUGUUGGAGAGAGUCCGGUUUACAUUAGAUGGACUUGAGUGCAACAAGAUUGGUGUUGGGUAUGAAGCUUACAGAAACCAGCCUAACCUCUGUGGAUCACCAUUUGGGAGCUGCUUGUACAAUCAGCUUUGGAAUUUCAAGGAGUCUGACGACAAUCGAAUAAACAGAAACCAAGAGCCCCAGUAUAUUGUGCAGGGACGAUUUGAUAGGAUCAACCAACACCCGAAUGCAGGAGCUCAUUCAUUCUCUAUUGGAAUCACAGAAACUCUGAAUACUAAUUUGCUGAUAGAGCUGAGUGCUGAUGAUAUAAAUUAUGUAUACCAGAGGAGUCCAGGGAAAAUAAUUGACAUUAAUGUCCCUACAUUUGAAGCCUUAAGCCAAGUUGGUACAGCCAAGGUCACAAUUAAGAACAUUGGCAAACUGGAAGCGUCAUAUAGCUUGACGUUCGACUGCUUAAGUGGCAUCAGUUAUGUGGAGGAGCAAUUCUUCAUCAUCAAACCUGGCCAAGUGCUUAUCCGCUCAUUUUAUUUGCGUUCCUCAUCAGACCAAGCAUCAAAAUAUCGCUGCUCGGCUAUUUUGAAAGCGUCAGAUUUCAGUGAACUUGACAGAGCAGAGUGUCAGUUCUCUACUACAGCCACAGUUCUUGACAAUGGAACACAGAUCAGCCCACCGAAGCAGCAUAAGAAGGGUGGCAUCAGGGGUUUCAUCGAAGCCAUCAAAACCUUGUGGCGCAACACGUGGGACAGCGUGAUCGAUUUCUUCACCGGCAGAUCAUGCAGCACCAAGUGCUCGAGCUUCCUGGACCUGAGCUGCCACAUCCAGUACAUAUGCAUCGGCUGGCUCGUCAUGUUCGGCCUGCUGCUCACCACGCUACCCGCAGUUGCGGUGCUGCUGUGGCUGCUCCACCAGAAGGGCAUGUUCGACCCGCUGUACGACUGCUGGGAGGACGUGUUCGGGCUGCCGGAGGCCGCGCACCCGAAGCACCGGGAAGGUCGAGGCCAUCACGCGCACGCCCACACCCACCACCACCACCACCACCACAGCAAGCACCCGCACGCGCACAAGAAGCGUAGCAGCGGGGCGGUCGGGCAGCAGCAGCACCACAAUCACCACCAUGUCCUCCACAGGCACGGUGGCAAGCCCGACGACGGCGAGCGGCACCGGCAUGCAGCAGCGCUCGGCGUGCAGCACAGGGACGCCGGGCACAAGCACCACCGUCACGGCAAGGCGCCGCAGAGGGAGAGGGCACAAGACCGCGACCAUGAGCGCCGCCACCACCACUCUCGUGCGGCGUAG
rnacentral:rRNA from 1 species